AGUGAACGCUGGCGGUAGGCCUAACACAUGCAAGUCGAACGGCAGCACAGUAAGAGCUUGCCCUUACGGGUGGCGAGUGGCGGACGGGUGAGGAAUACAUCGGAAUCUACUUUUUCGUGGGGGAUAACGUAGGGAAACUUACGCUAAUACCGCAUACGACCUACGGGGGAAAGCAGGGGAUCUUCGGACCUUGCGCGACUGAAUGAGCCGAUGUCGGAUUAGCUAGUUGGCGGGGUAAAGGCCCACCAAGGCGACGAUCCGUAGCUGGUCUGAGAGGAUGAUCCGCCACACUGGAACUGAGACACGGUCCAGACUCCUACGGGAGGCAGCAGUGGGGAAUAUUGGACAAUGGGCGCAAGCCUGAUCCAGCCAUACCGCGUGGGUGAAGAAGGCCUUCGGGUUGUAAAGCCCUUUUGUUGGGAAAGAAAAGCAGCAGGUUAAUACCCCGCUGUUCUGACGGUACCCAAAGAAUAAGCACCGGCUAACUUCGUG
rnacentral:rRNA from 1 species